GUCUCUUCGCUCUUCAAAUGCCCCCAAGAAACCCAAGAGCGAGCGCGAGGAAGAGGCUGCCAACGAUGGCCGCGGCAGCCGUCGAGACGAGGAAGAUCAAGUGCGAUUGUCAGCUCAGGAUAUGAGGGGGAACAAAGCCUAGCAGCAUUAGAGAAUGCCAACAUAUGCAUAAGUUGCUGAUGGAUCUAAAGUUGAAAUUUAUGAUAUUAGGAAUUCCUUUUCUUUUGAUGAAGAGGGCCUUGGAAAAUUAUGGGCAAAAUGUAUGUGCUCAUUUCUGCAAGAGUUAAAUGAUGCUGUUGGAGUUAAGUUCAUUGAUGAGUCUCCAGAAAACUUAAUCGAGAAAUUUUUUACUGAAUUUGCUUCAGUAAUAGCAAACAGGAUCACAAGAAUAAUCAACUUUAAUGUGACUGGCCCAGUUAUGGACAAGCAUACACCAUAUAUAGUUCUUGUUAACAUGGCAGAACAAAUCGGCCAAACUGUAAUAUUGCCAUCUGCUAGACGGAAGGAAGACUUUAAGGUAUCCUAAGCUUCAACUAGAGAUUUAAACCAAGGUUUCAAAUCUUGUUGCUGUGUUUAUAUUGGUCGAUGGCCAAAUCAGUACGCAAUGAUGGAACGAAAAAAGCAUAGGUUUGUACACCAAAUCCUAGGGAGAGAGAGAGAGAGAUGAGGCACAGGAGGAGCCGUGGGCGACAUAUACUGGAAGGAGGCAACAACUGUGGCACUAAGUGUAAUUGACGGAGGAGG